rnacentral:lncRNA from 1 species
GAGCCCGCCCCUCUCCCAGGCUCCUGCUCCAGGGCGAACCCGGGGGUCCUCUCCCAUGGCUCUGUGGGGGACCCCGGGGAGGUCGCCCUGGCACGGGACACUGUCGCGGGGUAGGACCCGAGAGGGUCUGGGGCGGUCAGGCUUCAUCCUGAGCACCGCCCGGGUGCAGGGAGCGCUGGGUGCUGGGCAAUACUUUAAAGACACAAAGUCUCAACAACCAUCUUCCGCUUGACGAGACAGAUCAUUCUAAUUUGAGCAGAAGCUACUAUGUCCUGCCCUUUGAACGCGGCGGCCCGGACAGCUGACAAGGACACACUGUGUAUUUCCAUUCCAAUUCUGGGAGUGCUCUGAGGCCUCUGGGGGAGAAGGACCCAUGAAAUAUUCAAAACAUAAGUGAAUAAAAUAUCUAGGUGCUAGAUAUGGGCCAGGAAGAGCCCUCGGCCCUGCAAAGUGUGUGUGAUGGUGAGAAGCUACCGGAAGAGAUGGUCCCUGUGCUUGGUUCAUUCCUUGGACAUUUAUCAAGCUGACGAAUGUAGCAGAGGUGCUUCAGUCGGCUGUAAUUCCACGGGUGGAGUGCUGGCUGGAGAGUUACCUGGGGCUGUCACACUGCAUGGGCUCCGGGACACUGUGGCUGCCCUUAUGUGGUGUCCCCGGAGGGCCCUGCAGGUGUCACACCGCUGCUCCACACUGCCACCUGCUGUCAGCAUCUGUGCAACGUAUCCAGGUCUCUGGGGGCUAGAAUGAAAAACAUGCAUCUCGUAACCAAUGAAAUCGGGCUUGUCCUGAAGACCUCGUGCAUUCAUCCAUUCUCACACUGCUAUAAAGACAUACCUAAGACUGGGCACUUCAUGAAGAAAAGAGGUUUAAUUGGCUCACGGUUCUGCAGGCUUUACAGGAAGCAUAGCAGCUUCCACUUCUAGGGAGGCCUCAGGAAACUUAUAGUCAUGGUGGAAGGUGAAGGCGGGACAAGGCGUCUCACAUGGGAGCAGUAGAGAGAGAAAAAGAGGGGGUGCCGCACACUUUGAAACAACCAGAUCUAACGAUAACUCACUAUCAUGAGAACAGCACCAAGAAGCUGGCGCUAACCCACUUGUGAAGGACCACCACCAUGAUCCAAUCCCUUCCCACCAGGUCCCACUUCCAACGUUGGGGAUUACACUUCACGGUGAGAUUUGUGCAGAGAGGACACAGGUCCAAACCAUAUCACCUGCUGUCUUUUUAUUUAUUUAUUUAUUUAUUUAUUUAUUGAGACAGAGUUGCUUCGUCACCCAGGCUGGAGUGCAGUGGCGUGAUCUCGGCUCACUGCAAGCUCCGCCUCCCGGGUUCGCACCAUUCUCCUGCCUCAGCCUCCCGAGUAGCUGGGACAACAGGCGCCUGCCACCACACCCAGCUAAUUUUUUGUAUUUUUAGUAGAGACGGGGUUUCACCAUGUUAGCCAGGAUGGUCUCCAUCUCCUGACCUCGUGAUCCGCCCGCCUCGGCCUUCCAAAGUGCUGGGAUUACAGACAUGAGCCACUGCGCCUGGCCUAUUGAUUUAUUUUUGAGAUGGGGUUUCGCUCUUGUGGCCCAGGCUGGAGUGCAAUGGCACGAUCUCGGCUCACUGCAACCUCCGCCUCCCAAGUUCAAGUGAUUCUCCUGUCUCAGUCUCCCAAGUAGCUGGGAUUACAGGCAUGCGCCACCAUGCCCAGCUAAUUUUGUAUUUUUAGUAGAGACAGGGUUUCUCCAUGUUGUUCAGGCUGGUCUCGAGCUCCCGACCUUAGGUGAUCCACCCGCCUCAGCCUCCCAAAGUGCUGGGAUUACAGGUGUGAGCCACUGCGCCUUGCCCACCUGCUGUCUUUUUGCAUCUUCCAAGUAGACAUCAAAGAUUGGUUUGCUAUCAGUGUCACUUCUAUAAUCCGUGGUUCUAUAUGAAGAAAACAAAAUCCCAAUUGGGGAAAAUGAACCCAUGGCAUUUUGUUUCUUACUCUGGAGCCGUUUCUGGCAGUUUGCCAGCAAGCACACAGACCCACAGGACAAGCUUGGUUCAUGGCCUGGAGUGCUGGUCUUGCUCAUGGACACGCAAUCAGAAGCAGUAUUUUGAUACCCCUGUGCUCAUGGCAAGGAGCUGCGUGGGCUUUCAGGGUGGAACCAGGGCUUCAGGGAACCCCUUCAUCCCGACAGGCAUCACCCAGAGCACACCCAGAGCAGCCUGCAGCGGCGUGGAAGGGGCUUGCACUGGCCCCAAGGUGCAGGGGAGCCCUGCCUGCCUGUCUCCUGCUAGGCUUGCCUGGGCUCCCGCCUACAGACCAUGAGAAUUCUUCUAGCAUGGGAAGAGAGUCUGACCAAAGUGACAACAGCCAUCCCCUGACUGCCCAGCACUGUUCACUUCUUCCCAGAUACUCCUACCAGACCAGGUCAGCCCUUCUUUUACUGGGGGGCCAGAAAGGUCCCCCCAAUCCAGUCCAGGACUCCAGAUGAUGCCCAUUUCUCUGCCAGUCCCAGCAAUCUCCCUUCUCAGCAUCUGGCAUCCUGGGAUGUACCCUAAAGUUCACUGGCUCAGAGCACCCUAACUAUGGCUGCGGCGAGGGGGGAGGGCGGGAUCAGGUCGGCGUGCUGCACAUGGGUCCUGGGGCGGGAACAGUAUUCUGGCUAUGCUCCUGCAGCUGGGCCCUCACAAGGGGCAGCGUCUGCACCCUCUCAAGGCUUUGCAGAUAAGGGUUUAUUGAAGAGGGAGGUGACCCACACCAUCCCCACUGAGGGAUCUGGUUAGGGGGCUCCCCCCAGAAUGUAGGCAAGAGGGCAGCAUCUUGAUAGUGAGGGUUGGUCACCCGGGAACCACAGUAACGUCUGCAGGGACCUUCCCCCAGUGGCACGCACUUCCCAGAAUGCUCACGGUCACCCUCAGCUUUCAACUGUGGGGACCUAACGCGUCUCCUGGUAGAGUCCUCACUCCCUUGGCUAAAACUUCUGAAAGCAGCGAGGCCGGGCUCCCUGGCUAGGAUGGCUCUGGCCCUGAGCAGGUCAUUUGCGUCAAGUUUCACCACCCAGCACCCUGUGCUUUCCCCAGCUGGCUGCACGCUGGGCCUCCGGGAAGCCGGCAAGCCCACCUGAUUCUGGAUCCUCCCUCCGAGCCUGGGUGACGCUGUCAUGAAAGAAGCUGCCAGAAGCCCACAGCAGGGCAGUUAGGCAGGGAAUGCGAGUCCGUGUCCAGAGCAAGGGUGACUCCAGUCCCUCCAGGACGGAGAAGCCAGUGCGACCCACUGUCCCAGGCCCCCAUGGCCCUGGCUGCUCCUGGCGGACAGAGGGGCAUGUUGCCCACGCUAUGCCUUGUUCCCUCUGGGCUGCCAUGGCCCCUGGAACAAUUCCUGGGACAGCCUGGGGAGGAGGCUGACAAUCAUGCAAGGUGGAUGCAGCUUGGCCCCUCCCAGUCACCUAUGUGUUCCUUCCUCAGACUCCCGUGGGGCUGGAGUCAUGAUUUUGCUCCCCAUCCCAUCUGUAGGCCGCCCCUGCCUGGAUGAGACCACGCUGACACUCACACGCCUCCCUCCAGGAGGACCUUGCCUCCACUUUCUCCAGGGCCACCUGUGAUGCACCAGGAUCCAUCCUGUAAUCCCAGCUACUUGGGAGGCUGAGGCAGGAGAAUCACUUGAACCUGGGAGGCGAGAGGCAGAGGUUGCAGUAAUAAGCCAAGAUUGGACCACAGCACUCCAGCCUUAGCAAUAGAGAGAGACUUCGUUUCAAAAAAAAAAACCUAUGCAAAUCCCAAUUACACACGCUGAGUGGCAUGUUCAGCUGAGCCACCUGCCCAAGGCGGGACCCUCUCUUCCUCCGUCUGCAGGUCACAUGGAGAUGGCAGAGCACCUGCACGUGCACCUGGAGACCCUCUCAAGCCUCGUCUCCUGGCACUGCCUCCUCCUGACAUUGGAGGCUGCUGGGAGUACCAGCCUGUAACCCUCGUUGUGAUGGCACCUGCCUGGUGCUAUAAUUCAGACAUUUGUCUCCCCAACCUCAUGUUGAAAUUUGAACCCCAAUGUUGGAGGUGGGACCUGACAGAAGGUGCCUAGGACAUGAGAGCUUGGUGCUGUCCUCGCGGUCAUGAAUGCAUUCAUGCUUUAUUCCUUCUCACAAGAACUGAUUGUUAAAAACGCUUGGCACCUCCUCUGCCCACUCUCUCUUGCUCCCUCUCUCACCAUAUGGUCUGCAUGCACCUGCUCCCAUCGCCUUCUGCCAUGAGUGGACACUUCCUGAGGCCUCACCAGAAGCAGAUGCUGGCACCAUGCUUCUUGUACAGCCUGCAGAACUGUGUGCCAAAUAAACCUCUUUUCUUUAUAAAUCACCCAACCUCCCAACACAAAUCGUCCAAGACACCUGGUGUCCCCCAAACAGCUCCUUGGUCAACCUCAGAUUCAGGACCAAUCUGAGAGCUGUUUCCGUGAAGGGAGGAGAGGAGAGUUGUUAGCUGAAGAGGACAUGGGUUUGCUCAAGAUCCCUGCAUUCUCCACUAUGGCUCUCUGAUUCUCCUCUCUGAGCUUGUGGCAGACACGGCAGAUACCUCAAGCAUGGCUGGGCAGCAGAUGCUGGCUGAGAGGAAGUGGCUGAGCCCAACUUGUCCCUCCUCAGACCCCAGAAUUGCCAAGACCAGAGUCCUCCAUAAAGACCUCACAAACAGGCAAUCACUGCAUGCUUUUCCACAAUUAAAUAUGUGCACAUCUUAAGGAAAGGACCUAACAUCCUUCAGCAGUAUCUCUUUCCAGGGCAGGGAGUGACUGCGUCAGCAGCCUCAAGUACCUGGAAACUGUCCACAUCAGGCAAAGUGGUGGGAGAGACACAGAUGUUUCCACCAGCAUUUAAAAGAAAGGAAAGAAAAUUAUUGACAAGAAGCCUCCAUGGUGGAUCAGGCUUCAACGUUUUGAUGGACCUGGCCUCUCUUGGAAGCAAAUCCCUGGAUGGAGCCCAUGUCUCUUUGGGCCCCCAAAGGCAGCCUGACCUUGACACGGAGUGCAAAGCAGACUCAGCUGCUUGUGUUUAAUGGGGAUUCGCAUAGUUGGUUUUUGGUUUUGUUUUUGUUUUGUUUUGUUUUUUGUUUUUUUUUGAGAUGGAGUCUUGCUGUGUUGCCUAGGCUGGAAUGCAGUAGCGUGAUCUCUGCUCACUGCCUGCAACCUCUGCCUCCCCAGUUCAAGUGAUUCUCUUGCUUCAGCCUCCCGAGUAGCUGGGAUCACAGGCACGUGCCACCAUGCCCUGCUAAUUUUUGUAUUUUUAGUGGAGAUGGGGUUUCACCAUGUUGGCCAGGCAGGUCUCGAACUCCUGACCUCAAGUGAUCCUCCCACCGCAGCCUCGAACAAUGCUGGGAAAACAGGCGUGAGCCACUGUACCCAGCUGGGAUUUGUGUAGUUUUGUCCGUGCUGUUAUAUGGUGCACUGGGCAGAGCCAGCCAGUCCCGCCUCGAGCCCCGUUACUUUGGUCUCUGAUGCAGAUGUUGUGUGGCAGUGGAACGGCCUCAUCAGCCCCACCUGGGACCUGGCAGGGGAUGGGUCUGAGCAGCCCUAGAGGAGGGUCCCCAGGGCCCACAGCAAGGGUGACAUGACCCACACCAUCCCCACUGAUGGGACCCACACAGUGAACCUCCUCCCACACCCCCUCCCCAGCCGGCCACUUGGACCAGAGAGACGUUAUCAAAGUGCCCUCUCAGAAACGUCGCCUUCAUCCACCAUCCUCUUUUAACCCACUGGGCUUGGUCAGGAAGCCGUUGGUCAGCAGGGGGCAGGUGGGGUUGGGGGGCACCCUUAUGUCCUGUGAGACCCUAGCAGGCACUCCAGCUUGGGAUUUCCAGAGGCUCUGAGGUGGCUAAGAACAGGAUGACAAAUCGACUCCAAGGUUCAACUCUUCCCCUCAUGGACACUCCUCCCUAUGCUGUUCUCAUCUCAAAUUUUACCUGUUUUUCUCAAAGUAGCUCACCAGAGGUUGGAAAUGAGAUCAAAGGUCAGCGUGGAUCUCAACAUUAUUAUUCAUCAGGGAAAUGCAAAUCACACCAGAGAUGAGACGCCAUGACACUCACACUAGCAGGGCUAAAAUUUAAAAGUCUAGCUGGGGCUGGGCAUGGUGGCUCAUGCCUGUGAUCCCAGCACUUUAGGAGGCCAAGGCAGGAGGAUUGCUUGAAGCCCAGGAGCUCAAGACCAGCCCCGGCACCAAAGCAAAACUGUACCUCUACAAGAAUUUUUUUUUUAAUUGGCUAGAUGUGGUACACAUGCCUGUGGUCACAGCUACUUGGGAGGCUGAGGAGGGAGGAUCACUUGAGUCCACGAGUUCGAGGCUUGGUGAACUGUGAUCAUGCCACUGCACUCCAGUCUGGGCAACAGAGUGGGACCUCAUCUCUUAAAAAUAAAGAAAAGGAAAGGAGUGGAAAGGAGAGGAGAGGAAGAAACUUGAUAUUUCAAUUAUUUUAAAUUUGUUGAGACUUGUUUUGUGGCCUAACAUAUGGUCUAUCCUGGAGAAUGUUCCAUGUGCUGAGGAAAAGAAUGUAUAUUCUGUACAGCUGUUGGAUGGAAUGGUCUGUAAAUGUCUGUUAGGUCCAUUUGGUCUAAACCAUAGUUUAAAUCCAAUGCUUAUUUGUUAAUUUUCUAUCUGAUGAUAUGUUGAAGGCUGACAGUGUGAUGUUGAAGACCCCAACUGUUACUAUAUUAGAGUCUCUCUCUUUAGAUCUAAUAAUAUUCACUUUAUAUAUCUGGAUGAUUUGGUGUUGGGUGCAUAUAUAUUUACAAUUGUUAUAUCUUCUUGCUGAGUCAGUCCCUUUAUCGUUAUAUAAUGACCUUCAUCUCUUUGUAGUUUUUGACUUAAAGUCUGUUUUAUCUGAUAGAAAUAUAGCUACUAUCGCUCACUUUGGGUUGAUGAAAUAUCUUUUUACAUCCCUUCCCUUUUAGUCUGUAUGUGUAUUUAUAGGUGAAGUGAGUUUCUAACAGGCAGUAUAUAGUUAGGUCAUUAAAAAAAAAUCCAUUCAGCGAGUCUGUAUCUUUUAAGUGGGGAAUUUCAUCCAUUUACCUUCAGGAUUAUUAUUGGUAGGUGAGGGUUUAUUUUAUAAUUUUGUUAAUUGUUUUCUGAUUGUUUUGUAUAUCCUUUGUUUCUUUGUUCCUUUCUUCCUUCUCAUUAUUUAUCAUUGAGGUUGGGUGGUUUUCUGUAGUGAUAAGGUUUGAUUCUUUUCUUUUUCUGUUUUGGAUAUUUGCUUUACCACUGAGUUUUAUACUUUUGUGUGUUUUCAUGAUAGUGAUUGUCAUUUUUUCACUCACAGAUGUAGGAUUCCCUUGAGCAUUUCUUGUAAGAUCAGUCUAAUGGUGAUGAUUUCCCUCAAUUUUUGCUUGUCUGGGAAAUAUUUUUUUUUUCUCUCUCAUUUCUGAAGAAUAUGUAGUAUAGUAUUCUUGGCUGACUUUUUUUCUUUCAAUACUUUGAAUAUAUUAUCUCAUUCUCUCCUGCCCUGUAAUGUUUCUGUGAGAAAUCUUAUGUUAGUCUAAUGAGGAUUCCCUUAUAUGUGACUUGAUGAUUUUCUCUUGCCAUUUUUAGAAUUCUUUGUCUUUUACUUGAAAGUUUGACUAUAAUGUGCCUGUAAGAGGACAUUUUGGGGUUGAAUCUACUUGGGGACUUUGAGCUUCUUAGAUGUCAGUGUUCAUAUCUCUCCCCAGACUUGGGAAUUUUUUAGCUCUUAUUUCAUUAAAUAGGUUUUCUUUGCCUUUCUCCUUCUCUUCUACUUUUGAAAUUCCCAUAACAUGAACAUUUGUUCACUUAGUAGUGUUACAUACUUGUAGGCUGUCUUCACUCUUUUUCAUUCUCAUUUCUUUUUCUCUCUGAUGGGGUAAUUUCAAAUAACCAGUUUUCAAGUUCAGAAAUUCUUUUUUCUGCUUGAUCAAGUCUGCUGUUGAAGCUAUCUAUUGUAAUUUUUAUUUGAUUGCUUGAAAUCUUCAGGUAUGGGACUUCUAUUUGGCUCUUUUUAUUAUUUCUAGUUCUUUGUUAAAUUUCUAGUUCACAUAAUGAAUUGUUUUCCUGAUUUUGUUGAAUUAUCUUAUCUACCUGUAUCUCACUGAGUCUCCUUAAGAUUAUUGUUUUGAAUACCUUUUCUGGCAGUUAGUUGAUUUCCUCUUCACUGGGGCCUGUUAGUAGAGAGUUAUUUUGUUCCUUUGGUGAUAUGUUUCCUCGUCUUUUUAUGUUUCUUGUGUCCCCGUGUUGAUGUCUAUGUAUCUGGUGGAACAAUUGCUUCUUUCAAAAUUUCUAGAGUGGCUUUCAUACAGAAAGGCUUUUACCUGCAGUGGAUUUUAGUGUGCCAUUUGGGAAGGGUAUGGUGACUGCUUCUGGAUCAGUGCAGUGGUAUAGUCUCUGCAGCUUCUUCAGCCAUGUUCAACAUUAGCAAUAACUGUGGACCCGUCAGCAGCCUAGGUUGUAGAAGUUCGUGACACUGGUGGGGACAGUGUAGGCUGUUAACAUCCUCAGUUCAAAGGCUGUUGGGGUUCUUCUAGUCUCAUUUUCCCCAUAAUGGGAAGACUAGCAAGGGGGAUUCCUCAGACUCUAGGGGGCUAGUUCAGCUCUAGGGAAGCAGGCAGUUGAGUUGUUCGGCCUGUAAGGUGGGAUGUCUGGGCUCAGCUACUGCUCUGUUUCUCUGGGAUGUAGGGCACUGCGUCAGCUCAGCCAGGGCACUGAUUCCCCUUGCGGUGGUGUGUCGCUUCCGCUCAGGCCUGAGGGACGGGACUGUCCUGGGUGGCCCAGGCAUUUCCCUGGAUGCAGAGUGCUUCUUCAGCUUGGGUUCCAGGAGGCAUGACUGCUCUGAGCAGCCAAGGUAUUGUUUUCCCUGGAGGCCGUUUAUGGCUUUAGCUCCAGCCUGAGGGGGCAAGAGCGGGUAGUGGAGUGGCCCCACCUUUGCUUGGCCCCACAGAGGAGGUGUAACAGCUGCCUGCAGCUUGGCUGGGGGAUGUGGGGCCACUGGGCUGGGGUGGUUGGGCAGCGGCUUAGCUUCAGGGGUGAAGGGGAGCUGGGGCUGCUACCCCAGGAACAAGAUACACUCCAGCAGUAGUUCCAGUUCCAAGAGGGCACCGCGAGGGCCACGGGGGCAGGCACAGUGUCGAUUCCUUCUCCGGCGGGAGCACAGUGGUGUGGCCUCCAGGCAGCUCACUCCACCCUGGGCUUCGUGCCUGUGAGGACUGCAAGGGACCCCAAGGGUGAGGGCGGUGGGUGUCCACGGUGUUGGUGGGGUCUGCUGGGGUCCUCUUGAUUACCUCCUCACUGAAGGGAGGUGUUUUCCUGGGUUCUAGCUGACCCUGGUUAGGGGAUGGGGUGCCAGGGGCCCGGCAUUUCCUUCUGUUCUUUUUGUGACUGUCAUGAAUUUCUGGGCUUGCCAGGGUUGCUGUCGCUCCUCUGAUGUGUUCUGGAGCUCUCUGUGGGGACUUUCAUUAACAUUUCAUGGCUCAUGGCCGGGUGCGGUGACUCAUGCCUGUAAUCCCAGCACUUUUGGAGGCUGAGGCAGGCAGAUCACCUGAGGUCAGGAGUUUGAGACCAGCCGGGCCAACAUGGUGAAACCCCGUCCCUACUAACAAAAAAAAAAAAACAAAAAAACUAGCCAGGCAUGGUGGCAGGCGCCUGUAAUCCCAGCUACUUGGGAGGCUGAGGCAUGAGAAUCACUUGAACCUGGGAGGUACAGACUACAGUAAGCUGAGAUUACACCAUUGCACUCUGGUCUGGGCAAUAAGAAUGAAACACCAUCUCAAAAAAACAAAAAAAACCAUUUCCUGGCUUGUUUACUGUUCUGGGUCUUUGUGAGGGACACCAGUGCUGGGGGCUUCCAGUCAGCUGUUUCACUGAUGUCACUACUCCCUACUUUUUUCUUUUAUUCCAUAUUUUUACUGUACCUUUUCUAUGUUUAGACACACAAAUGCCACUGUGUUACACUCGCCUGCAGUAUUCAGUGCAGUCACACGCUGCACGGGCGUUUAGAUACACAAAUGCCAUCACGUUACAGUCGCCUGCGGUAUUCAGUGCAGUCACACUCUGCACGGGCGUUUAGAUACACAAGUGCCACCGCAUUACAGUGGCCUGCAGUAUUCAGUGCAGUCCCACGCUGCAUGGGCGUUUAGCUACACAAAUGCCACCGCGUUACAGUCGCCUGCAGUAUUCAGUGCAGUCACACUCUGCACGGGCGUUUAGAUACACAAAUGCCACCGCGUUACAGUCGCCUGCAGUAUUCAGUGCAGUCACAUGCUGCACAGGCGUUUCGCUACACAAAUGCCACCGCGUUACGGUUGCCUGCGGUAUUCAGUGCAGUCACACGCUGCACGGGCGUCUGGCUACACAAAUGCCACCGCGUUACAGUCGCCUGCAGUAUUCAGUGCAGUCACACGCUGCACGGGUGUUUAGAUACACAAAUGCCACCCCGUUACAGUCGCCUGGAGUAUUCAGUGCAGUCACACUCUGCACGGGCGUUUAGCUACACAAAUGCCACGGCGUCACAGUCGCCUGCAGUAUUCAGUGCAGUCACGCUCUGCACGGGCAUUUAGCUACACAAAUGCCACCCCGUUACAGUCGCCUGGAGUAUUCAGUGCAGUCACACUCUGCACGGGCGUUUAGCUACACAAAUGCCAUGGCGUCACAGUCGCCUGCAGUAUUCAGUGCAGUCACAUGCUGCACGGGCGUUUACACAAAUGCCACCGCGUUACAGUUGCCUGCAGUAUUCAGUGCAGUCACACGCUGCACGGGCGUUUAGAUACACAAAUGCCAUCGUGUUACAGGCACCUGCAGUAUUCAGUGCAGUCACACGCUGCACGGGCGUUUAGAUACACAAGUGGCACUGCGUUACAGUCGCCUGCGGUAUUCAGUGCAGUCACACGCUGCACGGGUGUUUAGAUACACAAAUGCCACCACGUUACAGUGGCCUGCAGUAUUCAGUGCAGUCACAUGCUGCACGGGCGUUUAGAUACACAAAUGCCACUGUGUUCGUCGCCUGCAGUAUUCAGUGCAGUCACAGACUGUACAGGUCUGCAGCCCAGGAGUGAUACGCUGCACAGCAUGGCCUAGGUGUCUCACAGAUUCUACCGUCUUGGUGUGUGUGAGUCACCUCUGAUGUUCUCACAACAGCAAAACCGCCUACCGAUGCAUCUCUCAGAAAGUCUCCCUGUCGUUAAGUGACGCAUGACUGUAGCACUCAGCAACAAAAAGGGAGGAAGUACUGACGUGUGGACUUCAGGAUAAUUCUGCCAAACGAAAGAUGUCAGAUGAAAAAGUCUACACAGUAUAAUCCCGUGUAUCCAGAAUCCUACAGCAAACUCACCAACAGUGGCAGGAAGCAGACCUGCGCUUGCUGUAGAUGCAGGACAGCUGGAGGAAAAAACAGAAGACAAUGGAAAAGUCAGAGUAAAGAGAAUUCACUUACGAAAUGCCAACCGUUUAAAAAUACUCCACACCGAACAUGAUGAGCCUUUUCCAUUAUUAAUGCCUCAGGGAGAAAUCAAAGUCCGAGCCGCAGCUAUCCCUGCUAUUCUCAAAUUAGGAGAAAUCACCGUGUCCUACUUGACUUCAGGGUGGGUGGCGGGCGUUCCCGCGGCAGCUGCAGCCUCGCAGUGCCUGCGUGAGCCGUGCUCCGCUGCGCCCCGGGCAGCUCCGCUCCGACCCACGCACCGCAGGUUGCUUAUAUACUUGUGCAUGUUAGUUUGGACUUUGAGGGGUGCUUGCUUUAUUUUAUGUUAAGGUGCAGUUUACAGGCAGUAAAAUGCAUCCAUUGUAACUUUACAGCACAGUAGAGCUCACACAUAUAUGCGCUCAUGUGACUGACCCCCUGAGCAAAAUAUGGAGCAUUUCCAUCUCCCAGGAAGUCCCCUCCUGCCCCUUCCCAGGCAACGGUUCCCCACCCUACCCCUACCAGACACUCACAGCCUGAUUUCUAGCUUGGCGAUUCGUUUUUCCUUUCUCAAGCGUCGAAUAAACUGGAGUCCCUCGGUGUGUCCUGUGCUAUAGAAUCUGACUGUUCCACUCCAUCUGAGCUUUGAGACUUGGACAGUGUUUGUGCCUACCACAGUACUCUUUCCCUUUCCCCCGGGUUGUACCCCACCCCGUGCGUGGACCCUGAUUUGCGUGGACCCUGAUUUGCGUAUCCAUUCUCCUCUUGCUAAAUGCUGGCACUGUUUCCAGUUCGGGGUGUAAUGCACCAGGAUCCUGUGAAGACUCAAGACUUGUUGUGGACAGAUGCCUCCAUCUCUUGGGCACACACCUAGAAGGAGCAUUGCUGGGCCAUAGGGUGGACAUACGUUUAGCUUUAUUAGAAAUUGUCAAAAUGAUUUUCAAAGUGAUUGUACCGUUCACACUCCCACAGCAACAUACAGAACUUCCUACUGCUCCCCGUCCUCGCCGGCUGACGCUUGGUAUUGUCAGUCUUUUUAAUGUUCGUCAUCCUGGUGGGGGUGUGGUGGUAUCUCACUGUGGUGUUAAUUUGCAUUCCUCUGAUGAAUGCUGAUUCUGUGCACGUGUUCAAUGCUUAGAACUGCCCGGAUACCCUCUCCUGUGAAGCACCUGCUCAAGGCACUGUCAAUGUUUAGGGCUGCCCGGAUACCCCCUCCUGUGAAGCACCUGCUCAAGGCACUGUCAAUGUUUAGGGCUGCCCGGAUACCCCCUCCUGUGAAGCACCUGCUCAAGGCACUGUCAAUGUUUAGGGCUGCCCGGAUACCCCCUCCUGUGAAGCACCUGCUCAAGGCAUGUCAAUGUUUAGGGCUGCCCAGAUACCCCCUCCUGUGAAGCACCUGUUCAAGGCACUGUCAAUGUUUAGGGCUGCCCGGAUACCCCCUCCUGUGAAGCACCUGCUCAAGGCACUGUCAAUGCUUUAGGGCUGCCCGGAUACCCCCUCCUGUGAAGCACCUGCUCAAGGCACUGUCAAUGCUUUAGGGCUGCCCGGAUACCCCCUCCUGUGAAGCACCUGCUCAAGGCACUGUCAAUGCUUUAGGGCUGCCUGGAUACCCCCUCCUGUGAAGCACCUGCUCAAGGCACUGUCAAUGCUUUAGGACUGCCCGGAUACCCCCUCCUGUGAAGCACCUGCUCAAGGCACAGUCAAUGCUUAGGACUGCCCAGAUACCCUCUCCUGUGAAGCACCUGCUCAAGGCACUGUCAAUGCUUUAGGGCUGCCUGGAUACCCUCUCCUGUGAAGCACCUGCUCAAGGCACUGUCAAUGCUUUAGGGCUGCCCGGAUACCCCCUCCUGUGAAGCACCUGCUCAAGGCACUGUCAGCGAUUUAGGGCUGCCCGGAUACCCCCUCCUGUGAAGCACCUGCUCAAGGCACUGUCAGCGAUUUAGGACUGCCCGGAUACCCCCUCCUGUGAAGCACCUGCUCAAGGCACUGUCAAUGCUUUAGGACUGCCCGGAUACCCCCUCUUGUGAAGCACCUGCUCAAGGCACUGUCAAUGCUUAGGGCUGCCCAGAUACCCUCUCCUGUGAAGCACCUGCUCAAGGCACUAUCAAUGCUUAGGGCUGCCCGGAUACCCUCUCCUGUGAAGCACCUGCUCAAGGCACUGUCAAUACCUUCCUUCGGUUGUUGCUUUCUUAAUUAUUUGUAAUUCUUUAUCUAUCUGUACAGAAAUCCUCUGCCAUAUAAAUGUAUUACAAACAUCUUCACCAGAUUCUGGCUUGCUCUUUCAUUGUCUUGACGGUGUCUCUUGAUGAAUUUGUAGUAGAUAUAGUAUUGUCAUAGAUAUUCAGAGUUUUUAUAUUUGCUGUGUCAGUUUUGGUAGGUUGUGUUUUUCAAGGAAUUUAUCUCUUUCUUUCUUUUUUUUU